rnacentral:sRNA from 1 species
GUCAGCGAGAGAACGUUGCCGCAGGCAACGGCCCGAAGGGCGAGGCGCUUUAGCGCCGAGUAAUCCUUCCCCCACCACCA